rnacentral:lncRNA from 1 species
UGAUCAUGAAGAGGAAGAAGGAAAAGAGACAGAAGAAGAGGAGAUAACCUCUGAAGAGGAGGAAGAAGAUUGAACUGGCUCUUUUAUUUUUAAAUACUGUAAUUAAUUUUGGAUCAUUUUUAUUAUUUUACGAGUAGGACUAAUAGUAGAUUUUCUAUAUUUUUUUGUUUCAAUUUUUCUAUGUAGGAACCCCACAUAAAAGAAACACAAC